GUUCAUUCUCUCUGUCUCCAGUGACGUUUGAGUUUUUGGUUUUUGGAGAUUUGUAGCGAAUGGCUCUGGUUUGUACUGGCGAUAGACGUGGCUUUAGUGCCAUGUUUCGCUUUUUAAGCUUGUCUUCUCGAUGUCAAUUAUGGGUCUUCAAUUGUCUUUAUUGGGAUUGUUUAGGGGGUUUCCGAGGGAUUAUUCAAUCUGUGAUUUUCUUCUUCCUUUUGUUUGUUCUUUUUCCUACUGUUUGUGUUUUUACUUUUACCAACUAUGGUUUUAUGCGUGCUUGAGUUUACUGCUUCAAUUUCGCAUUUUUGAGCUCGGAACCAUUUAUCUGGUUUGAGUAUUUUCCUGUUUCGC
rnacentral:lncRNA from 1 species